rnacentral:rRNA from 1 species
UACGUAGGGCGCAAGCGUUGUCCGGAAUUAUUGGGCGUAAAGAGCUCGUAGGCGGUCUGUUACGUCCGCUGUGAAAACCCAGGGCUUAACCCUGGGCUUGCAGUGGAUACGGGUAGACUAGAGGCAGGUAGGGGAGAAUGGAAUUCCCGGUGUAGAGGUGAAAUUCGUAGAUAUCGGGAGGAACACCGGUGGCGAAGGCGGCGAUCUGGGUCGAUACUGACGCUGAGGUGCGAAAGCGUGGGGAGCAAACAGG